rnacentral:rRNA from 1 species
UAACACGUAAACAACCUGCCUUCAGGAUGGGGACAACAGACGGAAACGACUGCUAAUACCGAAUACGUUCCACGGGCCGCAUGACCUGUGGAAGAAAGGGUAGCCUCUACCUGUAAGCUAUCGCCUGAAGAGGGGUUUGCGUCUGAUUAGGCAGUUGGUGGGGUAACGGCUCACCAAACCAACGAUCAGUAGCCGGUCUGAGAGGAUGAACGGCCACACUGGAACUGAGACACGGUCCAG